AGAACUCCCCCACCCAGGCGUGUCAUGAAGGACCUGCACGAUCUAGAGAGAGAGGUCCAGCGAUAUAAGAGAGAGCCCCUAGAUCAUGAAGCCUAUCAAGCGGGUCUGAAUAGCAUUCAUACUGAUGCAGUCGCAGAGCAUAAUCAGUCAACACCGUCACAACAAUAACCGCCACAAUUAAGCCAACAACAGCCACUUCAUUAACCGCCACAAUCUUGCCAGCAACAGCUACCAUCACAUCCUGAGAAUACGCCAUCUCACGCACCAACUCACCAAAUUUCCGUAACCUCAGAAAUGUCCGUCCACAAUUCCACAGCCAACAACUCAACGUCCAUUCCACACAUAAAGAUAUACCCAUUGCCUACCUUUACGGGAUUGCCAGAAGAAUGGCUCACGUUUCAUGAGUCUUUUGAAAUCACAACUAUGGAGUUUGGUUACUCCAACCUGCACAACAUAAUGAGAUUGAGGGAUGCACUGAAAGGUUCUGCCAAAGAAGCCGUAGAGUCUCUGCUUGGUAAUUCUGCCAAUGUCGACGCCAUUUUGAAUUCACUCCAGGAGAAGAUAUAUCCAUUGCCUACCAUUACGGGAUUGUCAGAAGAAUGGCUCACGUUUCAUGAGUCUUUUGAAAUCACAACUAUGGAGUUUGGUUACUCCAACCUGCACAACAUAAUUAGAUUGAGGGAUGCUUUUUGGUGCUGCACAUCUUCACGGGACGCGAAGGCUGCAUCAAUGUCCUCAAGUAAUAUUAUAGACUGUUCCGGAGCAACAUUUAAUAAAUGGUUCAAUCUAUCGUCAGUUAAUCCUCUCUCUGACAAGUUAAGUAAA